CUGCAUGAAGUUGGAAUUGCUAGUAAUCGCGAAUCAGAAUGUCGCGGUGAAUACGUUCCCGGGCCUUGUACACACCGCCCGUCACACCAUGAGAGUCGAUAACACCCGAAGCCUGUGAGCUAACCUUUUAGGAGGCAGCAGUCGAAGGUGGGGUUGAUGAUUGGGGUGAAGUCGUAACAAGGUAAC
rnacentral:rRNA from 1 species